rnacentral:rRNA from 1 species
AUGCUCUCGUCUUCGUCUCUUUGGAUCCUUCAAUUCUUCCUGGUACGAACAUCGGAGAGUUUAUUUGACUACACUUUUCCUAGGGCCCGUGCUUCCAAUUAUGAGCCUCCAAUUACUUUUCUGGUUGUCCAGAAACGGCAUCGCCGCAAUGAUAAGCAUACUGUUGGUAGAAGCAGGAACAUACAUCCUGAUUAG